GGGCGCAUAAGUAACAGGUCGUAGACCCGAAACCAGGUGAUCUACCCAUGUCCAGGAUGAAGGUAAGGUAAUACUUACUGGAGGUCCGAACCCACGCACGUUGAAAAGUGCGGGGAUGAGGUGUGGGUAGCGGAGAAAUUCCAAUCGAACUUGGAGAUAGCUGGUUCUCUCCGAAAUAGCUUUAGGGCUAGCCUCGAGGUAAAGAGUCAUGGAGGUAGAGCACUGUUUGGACUAGGGGCCCUUCUCGGGUUACCGAAUUCAGAUAAACUCCGAAUGCCAUGUACUUAUACUCGGGAGUCAGACUGCGAGUGAUAAGAUCCGUAGUCGAAAGGGAAACAGCCCAGACCACCAGUUAAGGUCCCCAAAUAUAUGUUAAGUGGAAAAGGAUGUGGGGUUGCUUAGACAACCAGGAUGUUGGCUUAGAAGCAGCCACCAUUGAAAGAGUGCGUAAUAGCUCACUGGUCGAGUGACCCCGCGCCGAAAAUGUACCGGGGCUAAACAUAUUACCGAAACUGUGGAUGAACCUCUUUAGAGGUUCGUGGUAGGAGAGCGUUCUAAGGGCGGUGAAGUCAGACCGGAAGGACUGGUGGAGCGCUUAGAAGUGAGAAUGCCGGUAUGAGUAGCGAAAGAAGGGUGAGAAUCCCUUCCACCGAAUAUCUAAGGUUUCCUGAGGAAGGCUCGUCCGCUCAGGGUUAGUCGGGACCUAAGCCGAGGCCGAUAGGCGUAGGCGAUGGACAACAGGUAGAGAUUCCUGUACCAGUGCUAAUUGUUUAACCGAUGGGGUGACACAGAAGGAUAGGGAAUCGCACGAAUGGAAAUGUGCGUCCAAGCAGUGAGUGUGAGAAGUAGGCAAAUCCGCUUCUCGCGAAGCAUGAGCUGUGAUGGGGAAGGAAAUUAAGUACGGAAGUUCCUGAUUUCACGCUGUCAAGAAAAGCCUCUAGGAAGAGUAGUACUGCCCGUACCGCAAACCGACACAGGUAGAUGAGGAGAGAAUCCUAAGGUGAGCGAGAGAACUCUCGUUAAGGAACUCGGCAAAAUGACCCCGUAACUUCGGGAGAAGGGGUGCUCUAUUAGGGUGCAAGCCCGAGAGAGCCGCAGUGAAUAGGCCCAGGCGACUGUUUAGCAAAAACACAGGUCUCUGCAAAACCGUAAGGUGACGUAUAGGGGCUGACGCCUGCCCGGUGCUGGAAGGUUAAGAGGAGUGCUUAGCUUCGGCGAAGGUACGAAUUGAAGCCCCAGUAAACGGCGGCCGUAACUAUAACGGUCCUAAGGUAGCGAAAUUCCUUGUCGGGUAAGUUCCGACCCGCACGAAAGGCGCAACGAUCUGGGCACUGUCUCAACGAGAGACUCGGUGAAAUUAUAGUACCUGUGAAGAUGCAGGUUACCCGCGACAGGACGGAAAGACCCCGUGGAGCUUUACUGCAACCUGAUAUGGAAUGUUUGUACCGCUUGUACAGGAUAGGUAGGAGCCGAAGAGACGUGUGCGCUAGCAUACGAGGAGGCAAUGGUGGGAUACUACCCUGGCUGUAUGACCAUUCUAACCCGCCACGCUUAGCGCGUGGGGAGACAGUGUCAGGUGGGCAGUUUGACUGGGGCGGUCGCCUCCUAAAGAGUAACGGAGGCGCCCAAAGGUUCCCUCAGAAUGGAUGGAAAUCAUUCGCAGAGUGUAAAGGCACAAGGGAGCUUGACUGCGAGACUGACAAGUCGAGCAGGGACGAAAGUCGGGCUUAGUGAUCCGGUGGUUCCGCAUGGAAGGGCCAUCGCUCAACGGAUAAAAGCUACCCCGGGGAUAACAGGCUUAUCUCCCCCAAGAGUCCACAUCGACGGGGAGGUUUGGCACCUCGAUGUCGGCUCGUCGCAUCCUGGGGCUGUAGUCGGUCCCAAGGGUUGGGCUGUUCGCCCAUUAAAGCGGCACGCGAGCUGGGUUCAGAACGUCGUGAGACAGUUCGGUCCCUAUCCGUCGCGGGCGCAGGAAAUUUGAGAGGAGCUGUCCUUAGUACGAGAGGACCGGGAUGGACACACCGCUGGUGUACCAGUUGUUCCGCCAGGAGCAUCGCUGGGUAGCUAUGUGUGGCAGGGAUAAACGCUGAAAGCAUCUAAGCGUGAAGCCCCCCUCAAGAUGAGAUUUCCCAUUUCUUCGGAAAGUAAGAUCCCUGAAAGAUGAUCAGGUAGAUAGGUUUGGAGUGGAAGUGUAGCGAUACAUGGAGCGGACAAAUACUAAUCGAUCGAGGACUUAACCAA
rnacentral:rRNA from 1 species